AUUGAACGCUGGCGGCAGGCCUAACACAUGCAAGUCGAACGGAGUGGCGAACGGGUGAGUAACACGUGAGUAACCUGCCCCCUUCUUUGGGAUAACGCCCGGAAACGGGUGCUAAUACUGGAUAGUGGGGGAUGGGCUCGCGGCCUAUCAGCUUGUUGGUGGGGUGAUGGCGUACCAAGGCUUUGACGGGUAGCCGGCCUGAGUGGGUGACAGGUGACCUUGGGACUGAGAUACGGCCCAGAGUCCUACGGGAGGGAGCAGUGGGGAAUAUUGGACAAUGGGCGAAAGCCUGAUGCAGCGAUGCCGGGUGAGGGAUGACGGCCUUCGGGUUGUAAACAUCUUGCGCUCAUGGUCGGGUAGUGGGUAAAGAAGCGCCGGCUAACUACGUGCCAGCAGCCGCGGUAAUAC
rnacentral:rRNA from 1 species